GCCAGCAGCCGCGGUAAUACUCUAGGUGGCAAGCGUUGUCCGGAAUUAUUGGGCGUAAAGCGCGCGCAGGCGGUUUCUUAAGUCUGAUGUGAAAGCCCACGGCUCAACCGUGGAGGGUCAUUGGAAACUGGGAAACUUGAGUGCAGAAGAGGAGAGUGGAAUUCCACGUGUAGCGGUGAAAUGCGUAGAGAUGUGGAGGAACACCAGUGGCGAAGGCGACUCUCUGGUCUGUAACUGACGCUGAGGCGCGAAAGCGUGGGGAGCGAACAGGAUUAGAUACCCUGGUAGUCCACGCCGUAAACGAUGAGUGCUAAGUGUUAGAGGGUUUCCGCCCUUUAGUGCUGCAGCAAACGCAUUAAGCACUCCGCCUGGGGAGUACGGUCGCAAGACUGAAACUCAAAGGAAUUGACGGGGGCCCGCACAAGCGGUGGAGCAUGUGGUUUAAUUCGAAGCAACGCGAAGAACCUUACCAGGUCUUGACAUCCUUCGCUACUUCUAGAGAUAGAAGGUUCCCCUUCGGGGGACGAAGUGACAGGUGGUGCAUGGUUGUCGUCAGCUCGUGUCGUGAGAUGUUGGGGUUAAGUCCCGCAACGAGCGCAA
rnacentral:rRNA from 1 species